AUCCUUCAGUUCAUAAGUGUGAUGAUUGGGUGUUCAUGCUAUUGUGUGAGAUGUGCCUCCCUCUAAACUUUGUUACAACAUUGGCACAUUACCUGCCUAACA
rfam:Ictidomys tridecemlineatus contig081927, whole genome shotgun sequence.